GUGGAGUCUCACUCUGUAGCCCAAGCUGGAGUGGCGUGAUCUCGACUCACUGCAACCUCCGCCUCCUGGGAUCAAGUGAUUCUCGUGCCUCAGCCUCCUGAGUAGCCGGGACUACAGGUCACAGAAUUUUCCACACUCCUUGACAGAGGUGCUUAACCCUUAUCCAUCAGCAUUCUCAGACAGCACCUCCGGUUAGGGACAGUAUCUGACCGUCCGACAUCCCUGCAGCCCCCAUGUGUCACACAGACUCAGCCUCAGGUAGAUGGUUUCCGUAGAUGGUGGCUUUCUUUGGACCCUUGACAUCAACCAGUUACUAUUUGGUCUAGGGGUCUCACCAACGCUGCUCAUCUAGCAGGGCCACACAUAACAAAUAGAAGCAGAGCAAGCCCUGGAACUCCUGCCUGACAGUGACACGACGACAGAAACAUCUUACCAGUCAGAGGACCAUGAGAAAUAGAUUCAAGGAGCAUUCCACGUGCAAGUGAGUCUUGGCCCCAUCUGCCUUUGGAUUUUAGCCGUGAACUGGAAGGUAUUGGAAAGAAGACCCUCAGAAAUAGCUUAAUCAAAAUCCCUGCGUCUGAACCAAGUGCCUUAUUUCUCUGUGGGCCUCAAGCUUCGCUGACAUCUGUGGAGCACACUGUCCUAACAGGAGUGCUGUCUGAUUUCCCAACGCUCUGCAAAACAAACAGCCUGGAAGGGUGGCUGGUGGAAGGUGGUUUUUAGAGAGAGACUUGUAGAUAACAGGAAAGUGAAGGCUGUAAGGAAGGUUGUAAUUAAACAGCACAUGGAAACACAAUCACAUUAUUGUCCCAUUCCAUAGGGAUAAUGAUGACCACUUCAGUGGGAAAAGGAGAGGUUUUAAGUCAUUAGGGACUAUGGGCCACCUUUUAGGAAGAUUUAUUUUCAAAGGUUAAAAUAGUGUUUUGGCAAUUCAAGUUUCAUUUUCAGAAAAUGUAAUUGAUGGGAACCUCAGUGACUCUGGAUGAAUAAGAUGCUGUUGAGUGGCUCUGACUUGGGCCAGCCGUGCUUCUCACAGGACCUUGGAGACCAAGGUCACUGUGAUCUCAGGUUCAGGGGGCAAGUCCUCUCCACACAGCCCUAGUUGGCCUCACAGCUGAAAAUGUCUCCCUUACUGUUGGACUCCUUUGUUCACCCACAUGAGUUUGUGAAUAAAUCCUUUCCAGUCUGAAAGCUUGCUGACACUUGGAGACAGGUGUGGAGAGAGGACUCUGAGCUGGACACUUCCUGGGGAUGGCAGGCCUGGUGGGAUGGCCUAAGUAGCCAUGGGACAGGACACAGCAACUCAGAUGUGGGCUAGGGGUGCAGUUUGUGGAGCAGUGGCGGAGGGGUAGGCAGGUGUGGGCUUGAGGACAAAUUCUGCCCUCUUCGCUACGUGGCCUGAGCCAGGGCAGCCCACUUGCCGAGGCAGGGCCGGGUCUCUGUUUCUUUGGUAGCCUGAUUCCUCCCCACUCCCUGGCCACGUGGUCCCCAGAUCUGCUUCUGUGAAUCACCCUGAGUGACUGCAGGGGUGCUUCAAUCAGUGAGGGGAUCUCAAAGAAAAGCCAGGUAUUUCUUAGACAAGGAUUCUUAGAUAAGGUUGAUUUAUUCCUCACCGUCUGAGAAAGCAACAGUCUAGUAGAAGGCAGUGGGGCCCAGGGCUCUGUCACCUCACCAGGAGGUCUCUGUCUUGACAAUAGAUUACUACGUAAUGCACGUGUAAUGCAUUGCACAUCCUAUUGUUGACAUUUUGCAAAUCUAAUUUAAUUACAAAAUGAUGAAACCAUUUCUCCCAAAGGGGGAGGAUAACAUGAAAUCACAAUAAUAACCUAAAAUAACAAUAUCAAAGUUCUAGGAAAAGAUUUUAGACAAACCACUCUGUGACAUGUCCCCAAGGCGAGAAUGGAGUAGGGCUUGAUCAAAAUGGUGGUCUCAAACAAGCUGCCUAAAGGAAUUAUUAUUUCAGUGGGAUUAGAAUAAUGUGAGGGGUAGAGGAAAACCUGCCAGGCAUAAGCAUUCCACCUAGUGGAAAUUAGAUUUUGAUGAUGAAAUCGCAAAUGAUUUUAACAGGGAGGAAGGGGGCGGGCAGCAGCCAAGGAGAACAGAUGAGUGUAGGUUUUCAAUGAACCUGCUGGGUUUUCACACUGCCUGAUGCCUUGGCUGUGAUAUACCAUGGGUAUGUCAGAAUGUCCAGAAGGACCGAAGUCUAGAAUUAGCAACGAUUGUAAAGGAAUCCUGGUCAGCACCAAAGUUGUUUGUUUGCUUCCUUAUUGGUCUGUUUGGAGCAAGAGGAUGGACAAGGCAGCGACUCCCCUCGGCUAGGCGAAGACGCCGAGUAGAGAGAACAAAAAAGUGCACAAUUCCCAUUUUGUUUCCAAUUCUACUUCCCUUGAGAAUAGUCCUCACACUGGCAGAAAAAAAAAAAGUGGAACAAAGAUCAUUAAGAGUGAAAUGAAGCCCCUAACAGAAGAGAAAAUGUAAAAUAGAGCUCUCUCAACUCUGUCCUAGAAAACGACCCACUUGUCACAUUCCCCAUAGGUGGUCACAUUCCCCACAGGUGGUCACGUUCCCCACGGGUGGUCAUCCAGGUUGGCCAGAGCCCCCAAAGCAGCACUUCUGGAGAGAGGUGGCAUGACCAGAGACAAAUCCAUUUAUUAGUCCUAAAUUUCAAGACAGAGAAGAGAAACUUGCUGAGCAAUGUGUUUUUUCUCUUUUCCUUUUUUUAAAUAAAGCCCCGCAGUGGCUCACGCCUGUAAUCCCAGCACUUUGGGAGGCCGAGGUGGGCGGAUUGCCUGAGGUCGGGAGUUCAAGACCAGCCUGGCCAACAUGGUGAAACCCCUCUCUACUAAAAAUACAAAAUUAGCCAGGUCUGGUGGUGCAUACCUGUAAUCCCAGCUACUCGGGAGACUGAGGCAGGAGAAUCGCUUGAACCCGGGAGGCGAAGAUUGUGGUGAGCCGAGAUUGGGCCAUUGCACUCCAGCCUGGGCAACGAGAGUGAGACUCCAUCUCAAAAAAAUAACAAAUAAAGCCCCUGAAGGGAGGCUUCUCUGGGCUGCAGGUGACCCAGCCCCCAGAGGAACAAUAAAUGACUUUGGGGUAACAAAGUCAUGACUCAAAGUAGUCUUGUCAGGGUGGAAAAAAGAAGACAUUUUACAAGGGAAAAUGUAACAUUUUAUAUUUGGGUUCACUAAAAUGAUUCGUUCAAAUACAUAGUGGAGGAGCGUGGGGGCCCAAGGGGACUGGUUUUCCAUGGGUUCCUUAUGGACCAAGAGUGUGAAGAUCAGGAGAGCCCCCACACAUGGGAGGCAAGGACCUAGCACAGGGAGGGCCGCAGCCUUUCUCCAUCCCCGCUUCUUGGGCCAACUGCCCGUGUGUGGGGUGCAGCUCUCAGAUCCCAGCCAAGUAGGAAUUCCCCAGGCAGGUCACCAAGAGGAAGGGGGUGUGGGGGCAGAGCAGUGGUGACGAUGCAGGGGCUGUUAGCCAGAGGAGAGGUGAAUUUAUAUAGCUGAAAAGCCACCAAAGAUGAGAGAGGGACCGUUCUUUAUGUCCAGCAGGCCACGUUUGAGGAGGCUGGCUGGGGUCCCAUCUGAGAUGAGUGCCGGUGUGGUGCGGAGUUCCCUGCCAAAGGAGGGUCUACACAGUCUCAAGAUGGCCUCUCUGCCAGGGUACACCUCAGAAGGGAUCUUAGAGGCUGCGUAUGAAGGUGGCCCGAGGGCGCCUAAUGUCCCUUCCCAAGAAGUUGAUGAUUACCAUGGAUGAGGAGUCAGUAGGAGAGAAAGUGUCCUUGUCCAGGCAGCUGGGAGGAGUGGUUAAAAGGGAGGCCAGGUGUGGUGGCUCACACCUGUAAUCCCUGCACUUUGGGAGGCCAAGGCAGGGAGAUGGCUUGAGUCCAGGACUUAGAGACCAGCCUGGGCAACAUAGUAAGACCUCAUCUCCACAAAACAUUUUUUAAAAAAUUAGCGAAGUGUGGCAGGAGGCUCAGGUGGGAGGAUCACAUGAGCCCUAGAUGUCGAGGCUACAGUAAGCCCUGAUCACACAACUGCACUCCAGCCUGGGCCGCAGAGUGAGACCCUGUCUACAUAAAUGAACAGGCUGGGCACAGUGGCUCAUGCCUGUAAUCCAAGCACUUUGGGAGGCUGAGGUGGGAGGAUCAUUUGAGGUCAGGAGUUCGAGACCAGCCUGGCCAACAUGCUGAAACCCUAUCUCUAAUAUAAAUACAAAUAUUAGCCGGACAUGGUGGCGGGGGCCUGUAAUCCCAGCUACUCGGGAGGCUGAGGAAUGAGAAUCGCAUGAACCCAGGAGGUGGAGGUUGCAGUGAGCCAAGAUCUCGCCAUUGUACUCCAACCUGGACAAUAGAGUGAGACUCUGUUUCAAAAAAAUAAAAUAAAAUAAAAAUACAUAAACAAACAAAAAUAAAAAGGGCAAACCAAGGCACCGGGGUUCAAGCCCUGCCUCUGUCACUUUGUAUGACCUUUGGCAAGGUACUUAAGCUCUCUGUGCCUCAGUGCCUUCAUUAAAAAUGAGGAUCAUGGCAACAGGACACACCUGCGAGGAUUUCCGUGAGGGUUAAAAGAGUUAAAUGAAGAUUCUUAGCACUGUGGCCACACCCAUGGCAAGGGCCAUGUGCUGGAUAGCUGCUGCAACUGUCAUUGUCACCAUCAUCAUCAUCACCGCUGAUUUAACAUGCAGUUACUGAACCCUGUCUAUGUGCCAGGGGAGUAGAGACCAGUAGGGUGGGUCCCCGCCUUCAAGAAGUCACAGCCCAGCAUAGAAAGCACAGAAUUGUCACAUGCAGAGAUGGGUUAGGGGCAGCACAGGGUGUGGUCACAUCACCUGGGUGGGGCCCAGGAAGGCUCCUGGGGUUGGCGGGCCAGUGCCUCUGAAACCAUGACGUGGCUCAGAAGCAUUUCAGCAUCUUGUUUUCCCGUGCUCAUCAGGCUGUUUACUCUGGGGGCGGCUGUGCACUUAGUGCCCCCUCCACGCCCCAAAUGAGCGCCGGGACUGGCCAGGACUGGCAGGGCUGGCUGGGCAGGUCCAAGGGCUCAGGGACCCGCCCCAGGGCCUCCUGGGCACACCUGGGGCCCACAGCCCCCCAUUCCUGGGCCUUAAGGCCUGAACUCUGAGGCCCCCCAUGUACGUGCACCCCUCUGUGCCAAGCACUGUCCUGUGCUGUGCUGUGGUGUUGUGUCUGAUCCUGGGAGAUGGGUGGUGUCAGGGUCAUUCUCAUUUUACAGCUAAGAAAAUAGGCUGGGACAUUAAAUGUCUUAUAAAAGGCCCAGCCAGGACUUGGAGCCAAGGUUUCCAAUGCCAAAAUCAGGUGCCGUUUCCAUACCCCACCCUGGGCAAGACCAGAGGUGACUCAGCCAAGAACCCUGCCCUCCAGGAGGAGAUGGAGCCAGAAAUCUGAAAACUGACCCUCCAGCCCGGGAGAAGUGUGGCGGGGCUGUGAGAGCCCUGCCCUCUGGGCCCUAUCCCCUGCCCAUGCAGAUUCUUGCAAAGUGGCCCCUGCCUGCUCACUCUUCAUGGAAGCAUCUCCUGGUCAGUGGUUGUUUUAGAGAAGGAAGGCAGUGGUUUAGGAAAAAAAAAGUGUUCUUUAGUGGUGGCAGCCUUUUUGUCAAAUAAAAUUUUAUCAGAAUACACUCAAAAUUGGUAACAGGAGAGCCGUUCUGGGUACAGAGAUUGAGGGGAACCUGUGUGUGACCUCUUGCUUCCUGACCCCUCCCAUCCUACUCCAG
rnacentral:lncRNA from 10 species